rnacentral:misc_RNA from 1 species
ACUUAGAAAGAUCGGCGUGAGCGGUUGAAGCGGCAUCCUUGGGUUGAGGCGACGAAACCCAAGAUACAGCGAAAGACGCGACCCGUA